rnacentral:rRNA from 1 species
CAGCAGCCACGGUAAUACGGAGGGAGCUAGCGUUGUUCGGGAUUACUGGGCGUAAAGCGCGCGUAGGCGGUUACUCAAGUCAGAGGUGAAAGCCCGGGGCUCAACCCCGGAACUGCCUUUGAAACUAGGUGACUAGAAUCUUGGAGAGGUCAGUGGAAUUCCGAGUGUAGAGGUGAAAUUCGUAGAUAUUCGGAAGAACACCAGUGGCGAAGGCGACUGACUGGACAAGUAUUGACGCUGAGGUGCGAAAGCGCGGGGAGCAAACAGGAUUAGAUACCCCCGUAGUCCCUGUCUCUUAUAC